UACGUAGGGUGCGAGCGUUGUCCGGAAUUAUUGGGCGUAAAGAGCUCGUAGGCGGUGUGUCGCGUCGGCCGUGAAAACCUGCAGCUUAACUGUGGGCUUGCGGUCGAUACGGGCAUCACUGGAGUUCGGCAGGGGAGACUGGAAUUCCUGGUGUAGCGGUGAAAUGCGUAGAUAUCAGGAGGAAUACCGGCGGCGAAGGCGGCCCUCUGGAUCGUUGCUGACGCUGAGACGCGAAAGCGUGGGGAGCAAACAGG
rnacentral:rRNA from 1 species